CCUACGGGAGGCAGCAGUAAGGAAUAUUGGUCAAUGGGCGCAAGCCUGAACCAGCCAUGCCGCGUGCAGGAAGACGGCCCUACGGGUUGUAAACUGCUUUUGUACCGGAAUAAACCUUUUCACGUGUGAGAAGCUGAAUGUACGGUAAGAAUAAGGAUCGGCUAACUCCGUGCCAGCAGCCGCGGUAAUACGGAGGAUCCAAGCGUUAUCCGGAUUUAUUGGGUUUAAAGGGUGCGUAGGCGGUUCUUUAAGUCAGGGGUGAAAGACGGUAGCUUAACUAUCGCAGUGCCUUUGAUACUGAAGAACUUGAAUACACUUGAGGUAGGCGGAAUGUGACAAGUAGCGGUGAAAUGCAUAGAUAUGUCACAGAACACCAAUUGCGAAGGCAGCUUACUAAAGUGUCAUUGACGCUGAGGCACGAAAGCGUGGGGGAGUACAACAGAUAGUAUACCUCGGUAGUCCACCGACCCUAAACCGAAUAGAAUAACUACGAUGUUGGUCGAUAUACGGUCGAGCGUCUAAGACGAAAGACGUUAAGUUAUUCCUACCGUCGGGGAGGUACGGCCCGGCCGAACGGGUAGGUAAACGUUAAACGUAAGUUAAGUUAGUAGGUUACGGUUCGUGAGACGCGACGACGGACGACGACGGAGGGAGGAGG
rnacentral:rRNA from 1 species